GCCGGCCCCUAAGGCGAGGCCGAAAGGCGUAGUCGAUGGGAACAACGUUAAUAUUCGUGGGCCUGCAAGUGACGGAUUGCGUGUGUUGUACAUUCUUAUUGGAUUGAAUGUGCAGCGAAGCGGUUCCAGGAAAUAGCUCCUGCAUAUAGACCGUACCCUAAACCGACACUGGUGGACUCGGUAGAGAAUACCAAGGCGCUUGAGAGAACUGCGUUGAAGGAACUCGGCAAAAUGCACGCG
rnacentral:rRNA from 1 species